rnacentral:rRNA from 1 species
AUGUGCAUGAGGAUAGGAUCACUAUUAAAUCAUCAGAAUAAGUCUGCUCCUAUUGCAACGCACCCACAAUGGGAGAAAUGUGAUGUCCAUUUGAUUUUUGGGAGAACACAAGUGCAACCUGAGGCCGAAGUCGUUGAUGGCACUACGAGAUGCAAUGGCGAUGCUGAAGGCGUCGAUGGCACUGCGAGGCUGAGCCCUCUUGGGAGAAUCAAGAAAGAAAGAAAAGAAGAGCGCUUCAAGGGUAAAAAGGUAGUUGCUGAUGCAGCCCGUUGCAACACACGUGAAUGUGUCUGCCUAUUUUGUUUUUCAUUUUAUGCUCUGGUGGAACGGUAA